rnacentral:rRNA from 1 species
UACGAAGGGGGCUAGCGUUGCUCGGAAUCACUGGGCGUAAAGGGUGCGUAGGCGGGUCUUUAAGUCAGGGUGAAUCCGUGGAGCUCAACUCCAGAACUGCCUUUGAUACUGAAGAUCUUGAGUUCGGGAGAGGUGAGUGGAACUGCGAGUGUAGAGGUGAAUCGUAGAUAUUCGCAAGAACACCAGUGGCGAAGGCGGCUCACUGGCCCGGUACUGACGCUGAGGUGCGAAAGCGUGGGAGCAACAGG